GACGAACGCUGGCGGCGUGCUUAACACAUGCAAGUCGAACGUGAUUUUUGUGGAAAUUCUUUCGGGAAUGGAAAUGAAAUGAAAGUGGCGAACGGGUGAGUAACACGUGAGCAACCUACCUUACACAGGGGGAUAGCCGUUGGAAACGACGAUUAAUACCGCAUGAGACCACAGAAUCGCAUGAUAUAGGGGUCAAAGAUUUAUCGGUGUAAGAAGGGCUCGCGUCUGAUUAGCUAGUUGGAAGGGUAAAGGCCUACCAAGGCGACUAUCAGUAGCCGGUCUGAGAGGAUGAACGGCCACAUUGGAACUGAGACACGGUCCAAACUCCUACGGGAGGCAGCAGUGGGGAAUAUUGCACAAUGGGGGGAACCCUGAUGCAGCGACGCCGCGUGAGCGAAGAAGGUUUUCGAAUCGUAAAGCUCUGUCCUAUGAGAAGAUAAUGACGGUAUCAUAGGAGGAAGCCCCGGCUAAAUACGUG
rnacentral:rRNA from 1 species